GCCCUCAUAGUUAAGUGGUAUAACAGUUGAUUCGUAAUCAUCAAUCCCAUGUUCGAUUCAUGGUGAGGGCACCA
rnacentral:tRNA from 1 species